AGCGAACGCUGGCGGCAGGCCUAACACAUGCAAGUCGAACGAACCUUUCGGGGUUAGUGGCGGACGGGUGAGUAACACGUGGGAACGUGCCUUUAGGUUCGGAAUAACUCAGGGAAACUUGUGCUAAUACCGAAUGUGCCAUUCGGGGGAAAGAUUAAUCGCCGUUAGAGCGGCCCGCGUUGGAUUAGCUAGUUGGUUGAGGUAAUGGCUCACCAAGGCGACGAUCAGUAGCUGGUCUGAGAGGAUGAUCAGCCACAUUGGGACUGAGACACGGCCCAAACUCCUACGGGAGGCAGCAGUGGGGAAUCUUGCGCAAUGGGCGAAAGCCUGACGCAGCCAUGCCGCGUGAAUGAUGAAGGUCUUAGGAUUGUAAAAUUCUUUCACCGGGGACGAUAAUGACGGUACCCGGAGAAGAAGCCCCGGCUAACUUCGUG
rnacentral:rRNA from 1 species